GUGGUACCGACAGCAUCCUGGGAAAGCAAAAAAAUCAAGGUAUUUUAAGAAGCUUUGUAGAGCUUAAAAUCAGAAUUCUCAGUGAGCAGGAGGAAGACGAUGAAGUCCUUCAGUGCCUUACUAGUGAUCCUUUGGCUUCAGUUCACCUGGAUAAGUGGCCAGCAAAAAGAAGUGGAGCAGAGUCCUGAGUCCCUCAGUGUCCCAGAAGGAGCCAUCAUCUCACUCAACUGCACUUAUAGGGACAGCACUUCUGACAACUUCAGGUGGUACCGACAGUACCCUGGGAAAGGCCCUAAGAUGCUGAUUGCUAUAUAUUCCAAUGGUGACCAAGAAGAUGGAAGAUUCAGAGCACAUCUCAACAGAGCCAACCGCUAUGUUUCCCUGCACAUCAGAGACUCCCAGUCCCUUGACUCAGCUACCUACUUCUGUGCCGUGAGUGCACAGUGCUCCCCAGGCACCUGCAGCCUGCACCCAAACCACAGAGGCUCAGGCAGACAUGAGGCAGAGUGGAGAUCACAGGGCAGAGAAGUUCUGUUCCUGCUCCAGAUGCAGUGGAAAUUAAGAACAAUACUGGGAAGAGUUUCAUAGAGUAGGGCAGUAUUUUUAACAACUGUUAAAGUAACUGACCAUGAAGGGAAAGUUUAUACCCAUGAUACUGUCACCAUAGAUCAUCUCAUAAACAUAACACUUGCCUAUAGGUGUUUGAAGUCAUGAAUUGUUCAAGUUGUAGAGCUCCUGCCUCAUCUCUGCUCUCAGCUGCAACACCUCUUCUGCUUUAAAUGAGGACACCUCUGGGUGGAGUAUGGAGGGAAGGGCUAGAGUCAGAAUGUGAGGACCGGUAGAGACUAAAUGCUCAGUUGCUGGCAGUGAUCUAAGGUUGGAGAGGGUCUAUAUUGCUGUUCCUCAGUACAGGCUGGGAGGGUCUCAGAGUACCUGACCUUAAUCUUGAUUCUUGUGCCCUGGGGUGUGGCAUGCAAAUGUAAGAAGCAUCAAUGAUAGCCAUUGGGGGGUUGUACAUCUUGGAAGGGCACAGGAGCACAGGGUAACCCCAGAUUCCUUAAGAAGGAUCUCUGAGAAGGAGUGGAGGUGAGUUUCAGGCACCAAAGGGUUUGUUAUGGUGGUUAAAGAUUUGCAUGGCAAAAGAUUUGCAUGUGUUAGUACGCAUGGCAUUGAAUGUAUUUUGGCAAAUGGUGAGGACAGUUGGUGACACUGAAGAUCAUAUCCUCAUCCCCUCCCCUGACUCCUAUACAGUAUAGAUUUUCCUUGUACUUACUACACUAAAUCCAGGAAAAGUAUCUGUGGUUUUAUACAAAGAAGAUCUUAUAGUAGAUGUUAAAUUGAAUUGUAGAGAAAUAUUGAAAGCUACACAGAUUGCAAAUCUGAGAUUACAGGGUUAGUUAUGGCAUGGUUUACAUAGUUCAGUGUCAGAAAUCCUUGAAAAUGGGAGAUUAAGAUUUCUGUUCAGCUUUCUUCAGUGUGCCACUAAGUGAUUCAACAUGAGUAGGACUUGCUGCAAAUUCUUGACAUGCAGAACUGCCCAUGAGGAAAUAUUUUCAAGAAUGGAAAAAAUAUUUGGAAGACAAUGAGAAGAACCCAAAGAUGUGAUAGAAUGAAGUUACUCAAAUUUGGCUUUCCUUUUCUGGAGUGGGAUACUUACUUUAGUAUAAAUAUAUCUCAAGAUACAUAGCAUAUGCUUUUAUUUAUUUGUCUUUUUAUUUUAAAUUUUAUUUUAACUGCCCCCUGAGGCAUUGCAGGUGUGGCUGCUGUGUCACAUCUGCGUCACUAGGUGGCAGAGAGAAUCGAGGCUAUGUCUACGCUCAGUGUUCCAACCCGUGAACGCCUGAAUGAUUAGUAGCCUGACACGGACAGAGCCAUUGCAGGGUGCCAUUGCUUGCCAGCCACCUGGAGCCUGGUAAGUGAGGCCACCUUCUGCUGAUGACCUUCAGUCACCUGAGGGUCUUGC